rnacentral:rRNA from 1 species
GACGAACGCUGGCGGCGUGCUUAACACAUGCAAGUCGAACGGUAAGGCCCCUUCGGGGGUACACGAGUGGCGAACGGGUGAGUAACACGUGGGUAAUCUGCCCUGCACUUCGGGAUAAGCCUGGGAAACUGGGUCUAAUACCGGAUAUGAACUCCUACCGCAUGGUGGGGGUUGGAAAGUUUUUCGGUGCAGGAUGAGCCCGCGGCCUAUCAGCUUGUUGGUGGGGUAAUGGCCUACCAAGGCGACGACGGGUAGCCGGCCUGAGAGGGUGAUCGGCCACACUGGGACUGAGACACGGCCCAGACUCCUACGGGAGGCAGCAGUGGGGAAUAUUGCACAAUGGGCGAAAGCCUGAUGCAGCGACGCCGCGUGGGGGAUGACGGUCUUCGGAUUGUAAACCCCUUUCAGUAGGGACGAAGCGCAAGUGACGGUA